rnacentral:rRNA from 1 species
GAAUAUUGGACAAUGGGCGAAAGCCUGAUCCAGCCAUGCCGCGUGUGUGAAGAAGGCUUUCGGGUUGUAAAGCACUUUCAGUGAGGAAGAAGGCCUUGGGGCUAAUACCCCCGAGGAAGGACAUCACUCACAGAAGAAGCACCGGCUAACCCCGUGCCAGCCGCCGCGGUAAUACGGAGGGUGCGAGCGUUAAUCGGAAUUACUGGGCGUAAAGCGCGCGUAGGCGGCGUGAUAAGCCGGUUGUGAAAGCCCCGGGCUCAACCUGGGAACGGCAUCCGGAACUGUCAGGCUAGAGUGCAGGAGAGGAAGGUAGAAUUCCCGGUGUAGCGGUGAAAUGCGUAGAGAUCGGGAGGAAUACCAGUGGCGAAGGCGGCCUUCUGGACUGACACUGACGCUGAGGUGCGAAAGCGUGGGUAGCAAACAGG